UAAAAAAAAUAUUCUAUGUAUAUAAGAUGGACGAGGACGUAGUUAUCAACGAUAUCGUUCGUACGUCUUUGGGUUAGCGGGUUCCAUCCGUAGGAAGAAAUAGAAUUUAAUAUGUACGAGUGUGUUCAAUCCACGAUAGGAUGAUCGUCAAAAGUGACAAAGCGCGAGGGAGUAAAUCAUGAGAAGCAUUAAGACAAUUAAGUGAAGAGCGAUGAUCCGAGAGUCAACUCGGUUAACGCGUCUACUUCUUGAUCGUUCCUUCGAAUUUCAUGGUCAACCAUGACGCUAAUGUCGUAUCACUUACACGUAUAAGUAUCUAUCUAUAUGUGUGUGUGUAUAGGGAAGAAACGAGGAUAAGGACAUGAAUCUCUACCCACCAAAACCGAUAUAUUAGAAUAUUUUCUAAUAAUUUUGAUAUUUCUUUGGAUGAUCAAAAAGAAGAUGAGUAGGAAGUAUCGCUUUAAGACCUUGAAGGAUAAAUAAAUAAAUGAAGAAAAAAAUAAUAAUAAAUAAAUAAAUAAACUGGUUUUGAUGGUUGUGGAAUUCUGAAAUAAUUACACAUAGAUUAAGAUUGCUUUCAAAAAUAAACAUUUAUUUCAAAAUUAAUGCUUACCAGCUGUAUCCUAAAGACUAAGAUCUCUAACCUAUACACCGACAGUGUUUUAGGUGUUUCCUUAAGAUUUCUUAAGACUUCAUUGCGUUAUUAAGUUGUGUGUACACUUUUGUAUAGUACCAUAAUGGAUUCCACAGCAAAUUCAAACCUUUACCGAUUUACGUUUUAUCACAUGAUUCCAUCGCCUAUGUAUAUUACAUGUAGUGUAAUUGAAAAGUAGUAUUCGUCUACUGAUUUGACUUUCGAAAUCAUGUUUACGAACUGGAGCAUUCUUUUAUAUCGUCACAUGAACUCUUUCGUAUUUGCACACUCUCUUAAAUAUAUUUGUAAAGUUUAAAAUGAUAGUACCGCUAAAUGGUGAUAUCACAUUUAUGGUUCGGAGUAUGUAUCUGGCCAAUAAAAAAAAAUCAUUGACCU